rnacentral:rRNA from 1 species
GAUGAACGCUGGCGGCGUGCCUAAUACAUGCAAGUCGAGCGAACGGACGAGAAGCUUGCUUCUCUGAUGUUAGCGGCGGACGGGUGAGUAACACGUGGAUAACCUACCUAUAAGACUGGGAUAACUUCGGGAAACCGGAGCUAAUACCGGAUAAAUUUUUAAACCCCAGGUUUAAAAGUGAAAAGAGGUUUUGGCGUCACUUAUAGAUGGAUCCGCGCGGCAUUAGCUAGUUGGUAAGGUAACGGCUUACCAAGGCAACGAUGCAUAGCCGACCUGAGAGGGUGAUCGGCCACACUGGAACUGAGACACGGUCCAGACUCCUACGGGAGGCAGCAGUAGGGAAUCUUCCGCAAUGGGCGAAAGCCUGACGGAGCAACGCCGCGUGAGUGAUGAAGGUCUUCGGAUCGUAAAACUCUGUUAUUAGGGAAGAACAUAUGUGUAAGUAACUGUGCACAUCUUGACGGUACCUAAUCAGAAAGCCACGGCUAACUACGUG